rnacentral:rRNA from 1 species
UACGUAGGGUGCAGGCGUUAAUCGGAAUUACUGGGCGUAAAGCGUGCGCAGGCGGUGAUGUAAGACAGAUGUGAAAAUUCCCGGGCUCAACCUGGGAACUGCAUUUGUGACUGCAUCGCUGGAGUGCGGCAGAGGGGGAUGGAAUUCCGCGUGUAGCAGUGAAAUGCGUAGAUAUGCGGGAGGAACACCGAUGGCGAAGGCA